GAGGACUCGUCCAGGGCACCAGACCCCUCACCGCAAACCUAGCAGAGAGGACGGACAAGCCAGGUUUGAGCUGUGGCCCACACACCAUGUAAAAAUUGAAGACUGUCCGGUCUUGGCUUGAACACCUCUGGUGAUGGGGAACUCACCCUGUCUUCUGUCCAUGGCAGAGGGACCCGAGGUGGGGCCUGCAAACAGGACCCUGUGACCUCGCCGGACACAGAGGUGCCCAGUGUAACCGAGACUCAGGAAAGGCAAGAGAAGGGAAGCGGCGUGGUGCCGAUCAGGGAGUGACUUGAUUGAUGGCGAGAUAGACGGCAUCGAUAGGUAUUUAGAUACAGAAAUGCAUAGAUUUUAUUUGUUUAUUUGGUUUUGGCUUUGGUUUUAUUGCUCUGCGUCUUGCCUCCAUGCCUUGGCAAUGCCUCCCAUGAGCCCCCUGUCACCACGGCUACUGCUCCCACCCUAUUCUCACUGGCAUGUGGAUGGUCAUCAGAUGCCUCCUGGGCUGUCAUGUGGGCCUGAUGCUUCCGGCUUGAUUCUGGGGCAGUGACUGCUGGGACCAGCUGGGCCCUUGCCUCUACCUGCCCCAGCGCUGGGCCUUUUCACCAAGGCUGGGGCUGAGCUCCAGCUGUGGGCUCCCUGUGGCUCCUCCUCCUUACAGAAAUCUUCCCAAGUUCCACCCUCCCAGCCCCUGAGAACCGGGGCCCUCCUGCUGGAGUCUGCCCUUGGGGAGCACAGAUUUUGUCUGGUGGGGGAGCAGACAUGAAAUCAAUGACAAUCUUUGUGCCCAGGGCUUUAUCUGCUUUAACUUCCCAACAAGCCUUGAGUCAUCCCCAUUUCACAGAUAAGGAGACUGAGGUGAAGAGACAGGAUCAAGCAGAA